rnacentral:rRNA from 1 species
CCUAGGGGGUGCUGCAGUGGGGAAUAUUGGACAAUGGGCGAAAGCCUGAUCCAGCCAUGCCGCGUGUGUGAAGAAGGCCUUCGGGUUGUAAAGCACUUUCAGUGGGGAAGAAAGCCUUGGGGCUAAUACCCUCGAGGAAGGACAUCACCCACAGAAGAAGCACCGGCUAACUCCGUGCCAGCAGCCGCGGUAAUACGGAGGGUGCGAGCGUUAAUCGGAAUUACUGGGCGUAAAGCGCGCGUAGGCGGUCUGAUAAGCCGGUUGUGAAAGCCCCGGGCUCAACCUGGGAACGGCAUCCGGAACUGUCAGGCUAGAGUGCAGGAGAGGAAGGUAGAAUUCCCGGUGUAGCGGUGAAAUGCGUAGAGAUCGGGAGGAAUACCAGUGGCGAGGGCGGCCUUCUGGACUGACACUGACGCUGAGGUGCGAAAGCGUGGGUAGCAAACAGGAUUAGAUACCCUGGUAGUC